AUGAGCGGAUGGUUACGAAAUAUUCAAGGACAAUUAACAGAUUUGGCAAAUGAAGUGCUAAAUGAGGCGAAUGAUGUGUUGGCAGAGGCCACAGAAGAAGUUCAAGAUCCUGAUGGAGAGAUUAUUGUAGCUAAAAAAAAGGCAGCUGAAGCCGAAAAGCAACUUGCAAUCGAAACUUCGCGUGUCGAACUUCUUGGAAACGAAAAGAGCCAUUUGGAGCAGCAGCUGUAUGAUGCUCAUGUCGAAAUGGACGCGAUUGGGGCGAAAUUCAACGGAAUGGUUAAGCAGAGAGAUGAUGAGAUUAAAAAGUUGAAGACCCAAAUGGAGCAACUCCAAGAAUCCGGCUGGAAUGAGUCUACAUCAGAUAUUGAUCAGAUUUGUGAGCUCAAAAAGCAAGUUUCACACUGGAAAUCACUUGCUGAAGAGAAAUCUGGAGACGGCGGCGGCGGCGGUGAAAAAGAAGAAGAAGAAAUGAUCAAAUUAUCAGAGUUAGAAAAACGAAUCGAAGCUCUCCGGCAACAGAAAGAGCACGAAAUUCAGUCACUUGUCGAGUCACACGCUGAAAAUGUACUUGAAAUGAGAGAAAUGUAUGAGGAAAAGAUUGCCGCAAUGCAGGUACUUCCCUACAAUGCAUCAUCAUCAACAUCAAAUGCAGAUGCCCUUGACGCUGUUAUGCUCGAACGAGAAGAUCUGCUCCUCCUGCAACAUCAAAAAUCUACGAAUGGAAGUGACGGCGGAGAUGGUGAACGGCCUGUCGUUGUAGAUUUGGGAAGUCACGAUGAACUUGUUGAUGAACGAAUUCGACAAAUGGAGGUGGAACUGCAACGGUGUAGAGAUGAGAAAAUGGAAUGCCAACACAAUUCGGAUGCACAAAUUGAGGAUUUGAAGACGCAGAAUAAGGAGCUGGCGAAUGCUUAUACGGAGUUGAAUGAGGAAUUUGAAGGGUUCAAGGAGCAACACACAGCCACUCAAAAUGCGAACAACGAUCUGAACCGACGCAUCGACAGUUUGAAGGCGAAUCUAAUUGAAUAUGAGGAGAGAUACGAGAUUUGUAAAAAAGAAUCGGCGGAAACAGCUUCACAACUCAUCAAAUUAACCAAUGACUUUGCACGUCUUAAAACCGGAGUUGAUAGUGUCAGUCAACGGAGAGAAGACUGUGAUACAAUGGUUAAUGAGGAAGUUGAUAAGUUACGAGCAUCACUUGAAGAGACACGUCAAGAUAGGGAACAUCUUCGAUCCGAUGUACAGAAGUUCCAGGUUGCUGUUGGAGAAAUUGAUGUGGAGCUGGAUAAGCUGCGAGAGGCUAAUCGGCUGUUGUUGGGGGAGAAUGUCGCGUUGCAGGAGAACUUGGCAAAUUACGAGGACACAAUGAAGAGCCUAAUCUCGUCCAGCGAGCAAGAUAUUGGAAAAUUCCGUGAACAAUUCGGCGAAAUUCAAGAAAAUCAUAAGCAACAACGUGAGGCUAUGAUUGCUGAAAACGAUGCGUUGAGAGAGGAAUCGGCGGCGAUUAAACGGCAAAGAGAUAUUGUUCUCGAGGAGUCCGCACUGCUUAAAGAAGUCAACGAAAAACUGAAACAAAAAUCGGCAACAGAAGAGUCAAAAAUUGAGCUUCUACAGAAAAAGGCAGACCUUCUGGAACAAGUUUUGGAAGAAGAACGAGCAAAUCAUCAGAGAGAAAAAGAUGAAGCAGUAGAGCAAAAGAAAAAUAAUUUAGAGUCUCAAAUUCAAUGUGAUGCUGAUGAUGAUGAUGAAAAUUCGACGGAGGAGCAGAAGCUGAACAAUGAGAUUAAAAUUUUAAAGGUUUGAGGCAAUAUAUAUAUAUAUACACCACGAUGGAUCUCACCACGAUGGGUCUCACCACGAAAGGCCUCACCACGACGGGUCUCACCACGAAAGCUCCAACUACGCGAAGCUCUCGACGCGAACACAGAAAAGACUGAAGAAUGUGAAAAACUGCACAUUGAGACACGAAAUCUCGAACGAGAAGUGGAUCUUCGUCAGAAUUGUGUCGAUGAGAUGAUUGCACAGACGAAUACCCUCCAAAUGCAACAAGAGAGCAUGUCGACAGCAAUGAAAACCCUUCAGAAGCAGAUUCUAGCGAAUGAACGAGAAAUUUGUCAGUUGGAGGAGAAGCUCACCGAGUCUGAACUGAAAACUCAGAGAUCGGAGGAAAAAGUGAAGAAUCUCGAGGAUUUUAUUGUUGGGGAGAGGAUGGAGGAGGCAGAAGCAGAAGCAGAAGCAGCAGCGGAUGGAGGAGGUGCUCGGAAUGAAGUUUCACAUUUGAAACGAUAUAUUGCAGAUUUACAGUCAAAACUCUCGACAAUGGAAGAAGAGCUAAAAGUGCUCCGAGAGCAGAAACUUGACGAGAAUAACGAGGCGACACAAGUCCGUCAAAUGCUCGAACGUGAUCUAUUUGAAGCUGAAGAAGUCGAUCGGGGUCUACUCGAAGGAAUUGAGAAUCGUGUUAAAGAAAUGGAAGAUCAGCUCGAAGCGAAGGUUAAAGCAUUGAAAGAAGCUAAAGAAGAAUCAUCAAAACUCGAGAAAAAGCUUGAAAAAGCGGAAAAAGAGCGGAUUGCAUUAGAAGUUUUGGAAGAGCAGAACAGAUUUUUGAAUGAAAAAUUGGAAAAAUUGAUGGAAAAAGAAAAUUCUGACCAAACUGGUGCUUCUCAAGCUACAGCAGAACUUCAAAAUUCUUCAAUUUCUCAAUUAACGGAGCAACUGGAAAGUGUGAAGGCUGAGAAUGCUCGCUUGGCGUCGGAAAUUGAAAAAUCUGGAUUAUCAGAGAAUUCUGAUGAGCUCAGAGCUCUCCAGCUCGAAAAUGAGCAAUUGAAGUUAUCCCAAUCCACAUCAUCAACCGAAGAGCUCCGAGCAGCAAUUGCCGUACUUCAACAAGAAAAUGAGCAUUUAAAAGGAGUGGCAAAAACGCAAUACGAAGAAAGUGUAAAGUAUUACGAACAAUUUCAAGCGAUGGUAACACACAAUCAACAGAUGAGUGAUCAAAUGGAACAAGUACAACGACAAACUACAGUAAUCCAAGGGACAAUGGCCGCCGAGAAUGAGGCUCACGAGAAGAAGGUGAAAGAGCUACAACGACUGCGAGAACAUUUGAUGAUUGUUGAGGAGACAUCGACAAGAGAAGCUGUUGAGGCUGAGCAACGGGAGACCGAGUUGAGAGCAAGAGUUAGGGAGUUAGAGACGAAGGGGCAUCAGGUAGAAGAAGGCGCUUCCGAGUCAACACAACAAUAUCAAGUACAAAUUGCAUCGCUGACGUCACAAGUCGAAAGUCUCCAAAAUAAGACGACGGAAUGGAAGAAAAAGUUUGAGACAGAAGUUUCGGCACGUCAACAGACACAGGAAGCACUGACAAGCCUUCAGAAUGUUGUUCGGGAAUUAUCGAUUGAUCAUGAGAAAGAUUCGGCGUUUGCUAGUCAUCGGAAUCUUGAAUUGCAGACUAUGAUUGGGACUCUCAACGAAGAAAUCGCGCAAAUUCGUGAAGACCUUGACCGCCAGUCACUGGGAAAACAAGCUUCGGAAGAAGAAUCCGAACGGAGACAAUUGCAAUUGGAUUCUAAACAAAAAAUUAUUGAAGACCUUGAAGUUCAAAUCGAAGAGCUCCGAUCUCCGAAAAAACCAACAGAAUCGUAUCGUAUCGAUGAUUCAACACUUCGCCAGCUAUUUCUCAGUUAUUUUGUGUCGGAUGCCGCGAAACGGCCCGAUAUAGCACUGCUUUUGGCGAAUGUUUUGGAAUAUCCGGCUGAAGAAAUGGAUAAGUUCAAAUCAGCUGUACGACAAUCAUUCGGUCAACAACAACAGCAACAAUCCUCAUCAUUCUUCUUCGGAUCCGCUCGUUCGACACCUCCACCAAAUGGCCCAACGAUUGCUGAUCAAUUUGUGAGAUUCCUCGAGGCGGAAUCCGAAUCGUCUCGAACUGCUCCACACCUUCCAAUUCGAUCACAACAACAACCAUCGACACCUGGGCUAUCACUGGAAUCACCUAGACAAAAAUCUCCAAAUCCACAAAAUUCGAGCCAAACAGCGUCUGCUUCAUCAUCAGCUGCCGCACUCGAUUCCAUUCUUCGAUAG
rnacentral:misc_RNA from 1 species